ACCGAGCUGGGUCUGUUGCCACUAAGUCUUUAGCUCUACAUAAUCCACCAAAUGUGGUACAGUAGAAGUAAGCAGCUUGAAGCUGUAUUCAGUUUUGAAAGGAAGUUUGUUUGAUUUCAAUGAAGAAAAUCUAUGACAAACUCACACAAUGUUGAUUUUUACUGGGUAUUUUACAUGUGUAUUCCUGGUAUGUGGGAAAACCAAAACUGGAAUGAUUUUAUCAAAUUUUCUGAAAAAAUGUGUUCUUAGCUUUCCAGAGAGUGUGUGAGGUUUUUCCCUGUGAUACCUGCUGGGAUCCAAUUGGAGAGUCUAAUGUUGAAUCAGAAACAACAGGAAAAUCCCCCUAAUCUUAAAGAUCUUUGUGGAAAUACAGUAGUGCUUCUGUAACAUCCAUCAGCUUGGUCAUCUCCAGUGACUGAACCCAAGAUCUGCAGAGCUAAAGCAUGAGCCUCCAUGUGGACCAGGCCCAUGGGGUGACAUGUAACACACUGACUAGUGGGUUACAGUUCCAUUUUGUUUCUGAUGAAUACUCUUCCCCACUGCAGAAGGUAGUUCCUUUCCAUCCCGCACGCCUGCCCCUUCGGAACUCCGGUUGUGUCCAGCAAAUGUUCAUUGUACCCGUUUCCCUUGUUACUGAUGAAAAGCACAUCAAAAGUAAUGUUUUGAUGAAUUUUUUGUAAGCCUCCUCUGUAACUGUCUUGUUUAGUUUAUGGUUUUUAUAUGCCCAAUGCUGCGGUAUCUCGGAUCAUGAUGGCUUACUGUAAAUAAAGGCUCAACAAAUUAAUCUGUCCCAAAUAUGCAGUGCAGAGAGCCCCCACUCUGUUUGGCACCCCAACCAAACACACUAUAUUAUCCAGUGUUCGACCAAAACGAUGUGUUUGGUACCAUGCUCCAAUUAAUAAAUUUGGUCUAUCACAGACACUGAAUUCCUGGGGACCCUCCAUUCUCCAAGAGUGUGCAAGCAGUGACUGUCAGGAAAAAUACCUCUGCCAUCAUAAUAAAGCAUAGUGUGAGAGUUGGCCCCUAAGAGAGCCAUUCCUAGAGUAUAUAGGAUUUACUAGACUAGGAUCAACACUGUCAGUUGCCCCUGAAAGCAAGUGGGAAGCAAAUGCAAUUUAAAGAUGGACAUAGCACAGAUGAAGUGCGCAGAUGUCAGACCCCCUAGGCUAAGCAGGCAGACUGCAUUGCCAGCAUCACCUCUGCCCACCCCAGACUGAGCUGCAGCUGAGUUAGUUAAUGUCUGUGUCUUGGACAAACGAGGACAAUUCUGAUCAAAGUGCAGCCUGAUGAAAAAGAGACUUAGAAUUGAGUGCUACCAGCAACCCACAGUGCCUCACAGUCUCCCCGGCAGCCUUGUAUACAUGCCGCAGUGACCAUGGCUGAUUGGAACCCUGUGUCACCACCACAAGUGAGCAGCUACUUGGUGCUAUCCCUUGUCUGCUACUUCCCAGGUUCUUCUCUGAGACCUGCGAGAGAAGAAGAGAACAGAGACUCUAAAGAGCAAUCCCAUUGGCCAAUUUGAUCCUGCUGGCAUAUCAGCAAUACUUUGUGCUCAGCCAUAUCAAAGGUGAAUAAAUUUAAUAAUAUCAUCAUGGACACUUGGCCUCUGUCCACUGUCACUAGAUCAUCAGCUAAAGAAACCAGUGGAGUCUCUGUAUCAUGGCCAGGCAUGACAGAGAACAAUGAUAGCAAAAAUAUUUGCAAAACUUAUCCACUCUUCUGAUAUCACUGAGAGAAGAGGAAUAGGUAUCAAAUAAAUUCCUUCUGAGCUCCCAGUCAGCUUGAGAAUGAACAGCUGAUAGUGGAGAAGUGAUGGUCUAGGCCUGAACAUUCCUUAGUUCAACAUGGACAGUUCUCCAUACUGCGGUCCCUAUUCCUCCAAAGCACACAUUAUACACACCUGCUGGAGUGGUCCCCAUAGUGUGGGAGUUGAACAGUGGAUGGUAUUUAAACGGUAAUAAAGAGUUGUAGUGGGUUGCUUUGUGUUCUUAAGAGCUAACCUAGUGUCUGAAGCUUCAUUUAAGAAAUGCAGCAUUAGCAGAGUCUCUAGUUUAAGAACUGGUUAAUAGGUAGUUUAUACAUAAAUACAGCAAGGAAGUUCAAGAGGCAGUGGACUUUGAAAGUUAUUGUAUGGUGAGCUCUGUUCCUUCUUUUUUUAGAGCCAGCACGAAUUUUGCAGGAAAUAUACAAAUACUUCACAGCAACCUUUGAAGGUAUCUUUUGUUUUUCUAUGCAUUCAGGUGCAUGGCUGCUUUUAUUAUCUCUCAAAGUUAGGAAGGUGCCAUAAUGGCUGCUUCCACCAUUGUUUAUUCUAUUAAUAUAGAUAUUUAGUAAUUAGAAUAGCUUUUAUAGUGCCUUGCAAUUUUCUUUUUAAAAGGUAUAUUAGAUGAACAGGCACUCCAAGUCCAAGAGUGUUGGGUGCCAAUAGUUCCCUGAAAUUCUCUUGCUUCUAAGGCUCCUGAGUAUAACCUGUAAAUAACACCUGAAGAUAGAUUCACUUUCAUUUCCAAGAACUGACCCAACCCCCAUGGAGAUUAUGUGAUGUAUGUGUCCUCUUUCUCUUUCAUUUUGUUUUGUAGCAACGUCAUGGAUUUUGUUCAGAUUUAUGGAGGCUGCCUAGACUAAACAACUCACACUGCAAGCAAAAAAAUCUACCCAGUUCCAUCUAUUACACUUCUACCAGGGAGUUUAAUAACUUCCAUAAUUUUCUCUAUGGAUUCACAUAAAAGAGCAUGCUGUUUUUAAAAAAAGAGAAAUACAUUCUCCUCCAUCUAGGACUGACAAAUCUAAUAGCAAAACCUUCAAUUAAAUGGAGAGAGAUUCCUUUAUUUUGCACAAGUUCGUUUCUAACCUUUCUGGUAACUAUUAACUAUAAUUACAGAACUAUAUAAUUACAGUAUUUGUAUUCUAAGCAUUCUAACUUCAAAGGUAUGUAGCAGUUAUUCUAAUCUGUCAACUGAUAUGCUUUUUCUGAAGCACUCUGUAGCCCUGAGUUAAUACUUUUUGUGGUAGCCACUCUAAAGGACACGUUUUGCUGAAAUGUAGUGAGAAUUAUUGCUUUAAAAAAAAAGUGUUCAUUUCAUCCUAAACAUAAUUUUCCCUCCAAUCCUUCAGUUUUAUUACCUCUUUUCUUUUCUUUGCAGUAAAAACACAUUUACUUAGUGCAUGACAAUUUUUCUCAUGAACAAAACAAACACUUGUGCAGAAUAAGUGCUCUGGCAGAGUAUAUCAAGGGCUUCUGCAUGGAGGCAAGGGGAGCAGGAUGUACUUUUUUUUAAACUGCGUCCUUCACUAGAAAUGUUUUUGCAUGAAAAUUAAAAGACAGUUUUGUAGAAAUGAAAA